CUUGGAAUGGGAAGAAGGACAGAGCUUGGUUUCUUCUCUCAGGGAUCUUAAGGUGGGCUACAGCCUCUAAGCUGAUGCUGAUGUUCAACUAUAGCAUAGGUGCUGAGAGGGUGAGAGAAGCAGAGUGAGAAGGUGAGGGUGGAGUGUCCAAAGCAAGGAUAAAAAUUUACCACAAAGGAUCCCUGGCUCAUCCUGAGUCAUAGGACUCACGUUAUGGUAACAGUGCAGACAGUCACACAGGCAUGAUUUGUCCCCAGAAGCAAGAUCACAGAGGUGGGAAGUGCACAAGCAUUUGGGGAAAUGGAUAGGGCAAGAGUUCCUUGGCUCUUACUCGGAAGCAUCUUGAGGUGACUUCCCAGACUCACUUCCAGCCUUGCAAAUCCAGAAACACCCGCAGUAUGGCAGAAAUACCAAGGUCUUUUCACAUACACCCACCAAAGAGCUACAGCAGGCUGCUCCCUUAAUGCAGCGUGAACUGCUUUCCUGAC
ensembl:lncRNA